AUUGAACGCUGGCGGCAGGCCUAACACAUGCAAGUCGAACGGUAACAGGGAUCAGCUUGCUGAUUCGCUGACGAGUGGCGGACGGGUGAGUAAUGUCUGGGAAACUGCCUGAUGGAGGGGGAUAACUACUGGAAACGGUAGCUAAUACCGCAUAACGUCGCAAGACCAAAGAGGGGGACCUUCGGGCCUCUUGCCAUCGGAUGUGCCCAGAUGGGAUUAGCUAGUAGGUGGGGUAACGGCUCACCUAGGCGACGAUCCCUAGCUGGUCUGAGAGGAUGACCAGCCACACUGGAACUGAGACACGGUCCAGACUCCUACGGGAGGCAGCAGUGGGGAAUAUUGCACAAUGGGCGCAAGCCUGAUGCAGCCAUGCCGCGUGUAUGAAGAAGGCCUUCGGGUUGUAAAGUACUUUCAGCGGGGAGGAAGGGAGUAAAGUUAAUACCUUUGCUCAUUGACGUUACCCGCAGAAGAAGCACCGGCUAACUCCGCG
rnacentral:rRNA from 1 species